AUACGAAGGUCCCAAGCGUUAUUCGGAAUCACUGGGCGUAAAGAGUACGUAGGCGGUUUGGUAAGUCAGGCGUGAAAUCCCGGAGCUCAACUCCGGAACUGCAUCCGAUACUGCCAGACUUGAGUAAUGGAGAGGCAGGUGGAAUUCUCGGUGUAGCAGUGAAAUGCGUGGAUAUCGAGAGGAAGACCAAUGGCGAAGGCAGCCUGCUGGACAUUUACUGACGCUGAGGUACGAAGGCUAGGGGAGCGAAAGGGAUUAGAAACCCCGGUAGUCC
rnacentral:rRNA from 1 species